rnacentral:lncRNA from 1 species
UCGCACUCUUCCGGAACGUUUUCGGGCAAAGGUCGCCGCGAUCGAAACGGUCAAGCAUCCGGACGAGAUGAAAGUAGAAGAAUUAGUAGGAGCUUUACAAACGUAUGAAAUGACUUUUCCUACUAAUCAAUCUUCUUCCAAGUCUCUCUCUAAAAGCACAGGGGUUGCAUUGAAAUCGACAAAAGAGAAAGACGACGACUCGGAUUCCGACGGAGAUAUUUCGCUUGCCGAUUUCGAACAUCAAUUAGCGCUCCUCACGAAGAAAUUUCGCCGGAAUUUUCGAAAGAAGAAUAGAUCGGACAAGGCCUCAUCGUCAAAAUCUUCAUCGUAUACAUCUAAGGAGAAGAAG